rnacentral:ncRNA from 1 species
CAAAGGCAUGGUCCCGACCUUAUUAUCAGCUCUAACCCGACUUACACAUGCAAGUCUCCGCAACCCAGUGAGUAUGCCCUUAAUCCCCCUCCCCGGGGACGAGGAGCGGGCAUCAGGCACAAGUAUUAGCCCAAGACGCCUAGCCAAGCCACACCCCCAAGGGUACUCAGCAGUGAUAAAUAUUAAGCCAUAAGUGAAAGCUUGACUCAGUUAGUGUUAUAUAGGGCCGGUAAAACUCGUGCCAGCCACCGCGGUUAGACGAGAGGCCCUAGUUGAUAUUUUAACGGCGUAAAGGGUGGUUAAGGAUAUACAAAAUUUAAAGCCAAAUGGCCCCUUGGCCGUCAUACGCUUCUAGGUGUCCGAAGCCCUAUAUACGAAAGUAGCUUUAAUAACCCACCUGACCCCACGAGAGCUGAGGAACAAACUGGGAUUAGAUACCCCACUAUGCUCAGCCCCACUAUGCUCAGCCGUAAACUUAGGCAUCAAAGUACAAUAAGAUGCCCGCCAGGGUACUACAAGCAUUAGCUUAAAACCCAAAGGACCUGACGGUGUCUCAGACCCCCCUAGAGGAGCCUGUUCUAGAACCGAUAACCCCCGUCUAACCUCACCACUUCUAGUCAACCCAGCCUAUAUACCGCCGUCGCCAGCUUACCCUGUGAAGGGUACAAAGUAAGCAAGAUGGGCACAGCCCAGAACGUCAGGUCGAGGUGUAGCGCAUGAGGUGGGAAGAAAUGGGCUACAUUUUCUACCGCAGAAUAUUACGAAUACGCACUAUGAAACAGUGCUUGAAGGAGGAUUUAGUAGUAAAAGGGAAAUAGAGUGUCCCUUUGAACCCGGCUCUGAGACGCGUACACACCGCCCGUCACUCUCCCCCGUCAAAACGCAUCGAAGAUAACUAACACAAUAGCACUGACAAGGGGAGGCAAGUCGUAACACGGUAAGUGUACCGGAAGGUGCACUUGGAAAAACCC